UCCCCGGUAGUCCAGUGGUUAGGACUUGGCACUUUCACUGCCGGGACCCAAGUUCAAUCCUUGGUUGGGGAA